UCUUCUGACAGUCAAGGUCAAGUCAAAUCAGCUGUUCAUUCUUUUGUUUUUAUUUGAGAAAUUUAAUAAUUUUUAAUUGAGUAAUUAAAUCCUUGAUUUUUGGUGUUGUUUGUAGUGUGCAAAUUGUUCGAAAUAUGAGUUUAUUCGUAGAGUUAAGUUCGUUCAUUGACCGGAUAUAGAAUAUGACAGUGGAAGUAUUCUAGAACGUUGUUUUUUUAUUUAUACCCUGCUGUGAGUGAGACUAGUCGAGUGAUAUAGUUCUCUAUCUAUAUCCUGGAGGGAGAUUUCCGGUCGAAGUGUGAUUUUGUGAAGGAAAUCCGAUCCUUGCGUGACUUUUCUCGUAUCCGCUGUGUGUGCAUUUUGUCGCUUGGGGACUUAGCUGCCGUUCCAGAGGCCUUCUACCUGUGUCUUGUUAACAGUUCUUCUUUGUGAGAAGGAUUAGAGUUUCUGGAAACGAAUUAUGGUUCCAUGAACUGGUUGAAUUUGGUUGUAAUUGGAUGAACCACAAACCGUUAUCUGUAUAGGAUUAAAAUAGCCCCUCGUCUCCGCCGAUAUAACGUACCACGUGCCCAAGAAGUCUCCGAAUUCCAAGAGCAAGAAGUCGGAUCCAGAGCCGUACAACACCAAACAGUCCAGAAUUUUGUCAGUUCCUGUUGCCCGUUUAGAGUUACUCGUUGGACGUCAUCAAAAGCCCUCGUUGGACAUCAUCGGAAGCCCUCGUUGAGGGUAUUUAUGUUCAUCAUUUGGAAGUCCAACACCUGCCUUGCAUCUGUACAUUUUGUAACAUCCGUGGGCUCCAGUGACAGUACAUCAAGCUGCUGUACACUGCCAUAUCAUCUCGUAGCUAUACACAGUAGCUAUACCUCAUCAAACAUCAUAGCUAUACACUGUAGCUAAGCCGGAAGUUUCAAGUAGUGCACCUUUUGAGUAAGACUGUUUAAAUAAGUUUAGAUUUAGAUUUGAUUUUUGUUAUAUCUGCCCAGCAAUGUAUUUUAGAUUAAGUUAGAUAAGGGGGAUGGAGUUCAUCAUGGUUUUAUCAUUUUAAUUUAUCAAUUUAAGUUCAUUCACUUUUCAUAUUCAUUCGUUUUAAUAU